AGUUCGAUUAUGGCUCAGAUUGAACGCUGGCGGGAUGUUUACACAUGCAAGUCGAACGGCAGCAGGACUUCGGUCUGGUGGCGAGUGGCGAACGGGUGAGUAAUGUAUCGGAACGCCUAGUAGCGGGGAUAACUACGCGAAAGCGCAGCUAAUACCGCAUACGGCCCUUCGGGGGAAAGCGGGGACCCGGGCCUCUCGCACUAUUAGAGCGGCCGAUAUCGGAUUAAUAGCUUGUUGGUGGGGUAACGGCCCGGCGGCGACGAUCCGUAGCUGGUUUGAGAGGACGACCAGCCACACUGGGACUGAGACGACGGCCCAGACUCCUACGGGAGGCAGCAGUGGGGAAUUUUGGGAUUAAAUGGGGAAAACCCCAUCCAGUCAUCCGGCGUGGGCGAUGAAGGCCUUCGCUGUAAAUAAUUUUUUGGCAGAGGAAGUUCCGGCACGGAUAAUACCCCGCAACUGACGGUAAUUUGAGAAUAAGCACCGGCUAACUACGUGCCAGCAGCCGCGGUAAUACGUAGGUGCAAGCGUUAAUCGGAAUUUACUGGGCGGAAGCGUGCGCAGGCGGUUCGGAAAGAAAGAUGUGAACCGCAGAGCUUAACUUUGGAACUGCAUUUUUAACUACCGAGCUAGAGUGUGUCAGAGGGAGGUGGAAUUCCGCGUAGCAGUGAAAUGGUGUAGAUAUGCGGAGGAACGAUGGCGAAGGCAGCCUCCUGGGAUAAUUGACGCUCAUGCACGAAAGCGUAAGGCAAACAGGAUUAGAUACCCCGGUAGUCCACGCCCUAAACGAUGCCGUCCAGCUGUUGGGGGCCUCUGGCCUUGGUAGCGCAGCUAACGCGAAGUUGACCGCCUUGGGGAGAGUACGGUCGUAAGAUUAAAACUCAAAGGAAUUGACGGGACCCGCACAAGCGGUGGAUGAUGUGGAUUAAUCUGAUGCAACGCGAAAAACCUACCUACCCUUGACAUGUCUGGAAUCCCGAAGAGAUUUGGGAGUGCUCGCAAGAGAACCGGAACACAGGUGCUGCAUGGUUGUCGUCAGCUCGUGUCGAGAUGUUGGGUUAAGUCCCGUAACGAGCGCAACCUUGUCAUUAGUUGCUACGAAAGGGCACUUGCAUCGAGAUCUGCCGGUGACAAACCGAGGAAGGUGGGGAUGACGUCAGUCCUCAUGGCCCUUAAGGGUAGGGCUUCACACGUCAUACAAUGGUCGGGACAGAGGUUAUCGCCAACCCGCGAGGGGGAGCCAAUCCCAGAAACCUCGAUCAGUCCGGAUCGCAGUCUGCAACUCGACUGCGUGAAGUCGGAAUCGCUAGUAAUCGCGGAUCAGCAUGUCGCGGUGAAUACGUUCCCUGGUACAUACCGCCUCCGUCACACCAUGGGGAGUGGGUUUUACCAGAAGUAGUUAGCCUAACCGUAAGGAGGGCGAUUACCACGGUAGGAUUCAUGACUGGGGUGGUCGUAACAAGGUAA
rnacentral:rRNA from 1 species